rnacentral:lncRNA from 1 species
AAAGGGAACCACCACCAGCUGCUGUGGCUAAAGAAGAUGACGACUACAGUAGAGGUUUUCGUCUCGGUUUCGGGUCUUGGUAAAAGCUGGUCAGCCGCGGUUCGGGUGUGGUUCGACGGGUCAGAUUGUGGUUCAUUACAAUUUGGUUCAACUAUUCAAACCCGGUAAACUCGGUUCGAUGUCGGGUGAACUCAGUCAAUGGCAAUUAAAGGCUCGGUCAACGAAUGUCAAAGUUAGUCAACUGGUCAAAGCCAAUCAACAAAAGUCAACGGUCAAAUUGCCGGUCAACAGCAGUCAACCACGGUCAAAACCAGACCCGGUAACAGUUUAAACAAUGCGAAAAUCUUGUUUAUAUAGUUAUAGAUUUUUAGUUAUACGCGACCCGAGCUCGAACCGACUGGAUUAGAAAUUUGUUUUGUUUUGAUAUUUCGACGGAAACUAUAAAUAUUGAUAUUUGUGAUUGGUUUAUUGUGGUAUUUUAAAAAAAUAAAUCGACACUUAGUUGUCG